rnacentral:rRNA from 1 species
GUCAACAGCCCUGCUACUCUGAACAAGCUCGAUCCCAUCUGAUCUCGGAAGCUAAGCAGGGUCGGCCUGGUUGGUACUUGGAUGAGAGGACCACCUAGGAAGACCAGGUGCUGUAGGUG